AAUAAUCAUGUUUCCAUAAAAUUGCUAAGUCCAGAGAUAAUACAUAAACAUAGUAGACUGUUCAUGACACAUAUCACGGUGGACAGUGUUUGUGUCCUUAUUACAAGCAACGAGAGAUGCUCGUCACCAACACGCGCGCGCACAGAUGCACGACAUACAUAUAGUAGAGACCAACAGAUGGUCGUCCCAUAUGGUGAACAAUUUAUUGGAGAUAAAUAUUAACGUAACUUGGCCAUAGCUUGAAGCAUAGCAACAUAUGCCUAUGAGUGGCAUUCAUGCUAUCGUUUUAGGCUUGUCCAGCUCCUUCCAUCUUAGCAAGCACUUCCAUUUCUACCAUCUUAGCAGCAACUGUCAAAUUGAGAUACGGAAAUCCCAUUAGCGCAUGAGUUAAUUUUGCAGUGGAAAUAGAGUACAAGAUGUCUUCAUGAUGUAAGUAAUAUGCCUGAAGUUGUGAGAUGGGAAGUGAAGUCAACAAAUUACAUUAACGGAAAUGCAUGGAAGGCCACACAUACGUAUUAGUCCAUGAUAUGCUACAAAGCUUGUAUGUACAUAUAGCAAAUUAAAUGCAUUAAUUGAAUAGAGUGUGUUUAGUGAAUUUACCAGAAUCGUCCAGAAAACAUGGGAAACAGCAAGUGUUCUUGCAGACUGCGUCGGAGGCACCCGCACGAAUACAAAGCUGACAACAUAGUUUUGCCUGGGCGGAUGCGCAGCAGCCGCACUCCGCCGCGGUGGGGUUAACAUUGAGGCUCAAGAUGACCAGGCACAUGAUCACCAUCAAAGUGGUAGUCCUCUUUCCCUCCAUUGCCUCCUCUUAGCUUGCUGCUACCUUCCUUGGUUACCUAGCUAAGUUUAUUGGUUUUGUGUUGAGAGGUGUGAUUCUUGAAUGGACGUUGCCGGCGGCAAUUUAUAGGCAGCUGAGCUAUGUGAUGAUAUGGACUAGGUGCAAAUGGGUGGUUAAUGGCAAGGAAAGGGGCGUCAGACAAAGCCCAAUGGCAACUGCUGACAUGCGAUUAAAUUCAGAUCCACAUCCGGCCAUUCAAUAAUACGGUUGGAGUUGUGGCACAGAUAUAUUAUUGCAUGAUCAUCAAGAUAAGAUCGUACAGUGACUGAGUGAGACAAUAAAUAGCCAAGUAAACUAUUUUAUCCUGCUGCAAGCUGCAUUCAUAAGUUUAUUUCACCUUUGAUCACAAUACUCUUCACACACGUACGUCUCAGGGAGAUCUCACUUCCGCUGGACUGCUCACUUCCGCUGUCGUCGGUACUGCCAAAGACAUAAGCUCACAUCUGCUAUUGCGGAGCAGGCCAAUUUGCUGCGGAACUUCGGCGACGACCUGAAGGACAUGAACUCGGUGCUGGAGUCCAUCUCAGCAGCGCUCUAGGACGCUGACACCGGUAGAAAAACGACCUUCCAUCGUCAACAAAAAUCCCGGUAGCUUUUUUACUCGGUACUAAAGAGGUUUUAAUCUCGUGCAAACACCUUUAGUCCGGAUUGCUGUUACCACGCAACCCGAACUAAAGCGUCCCCCACGAGUUACUAUAUAAGGAUUGCAUCCUUUACUCAGUCAGAUAUAAUGUGUAGGUGAGAUGGUAAGGAAGCUAUACGUGAGGCUUCAGGUUGUGGGUUCGAAUCCAAGGAGAAGUGGGUGCAGCUGUGGCUUAAGCGGCUGAGGCACGCCGCCAUAGACAUCUCAGAUUUGCUCGAAGACUACCAAGACACUAGUGAACCCUUAACAGUAAAGGUGAGUACUUAUGAAUGUCAGCAUCCAUGUUGUCCAUGCUUCCAAUGUAAUAACAAGAUGGACUACUCUUCCUAGCGGACUCUUCACAACCACUCGUAAAGCUAUACGUUUCUCAAUGCAAUUUCGUAGAAGCCAAUCGAUCCAACCAAGUGACUAAAUCAUUCAUCCUUUCCAAUGAUGUGCAUCAGGUUUUCUACAUGAAGGGCAUCUCUAGCAAACCCAAGAUUUCAGAAGAAAAAGAAAAAUCAUUGGAGCCAAAGAGCCACAUAGUUCUUCCAGGAAAAAAAAAUCAUGGGAGUCGAGAACAAAUCAAACCAAUCAGAGGAUUAUGGUCAGCUUAAUGGCAUGCCUCCAUUCGAUGUCGAAGUUCACCCAAGCAUCAUGUUAGCCAAACAUCAAAUGUUCGUGCGUUGUUACGGUAAAGAUCAAUUGUGUUUUUUAAACUCAUGGAAUUUUUUUUCUAAGUUUUUAUUACACUUAUUGGAUGUCUACACAUUUGCUAGAAAACCAAAAUAAUUUGGACUUAAUUAUUUCUUUCAACUGAAGUACUCACUAAAUUUCUACCUUUUUAUUUAAGCAAGAGAGUUGCUAAAAAAAAUGGAUACAUAACCAUGUUGUAUCGUACAAAGCAACCACAUUUCACAUAUAGUCCGGCUUACCAAACACCAUUUUUUACUGAACAUAGCGUACAUGAGUUAAGAGACAUGGAUUUAUUUCUAUUGCAAGUAGCAUAGCGUACAACCUGCCUGCACCGAUGCAGCUCAAUAUGCGAUAAUUUUUAUCUUCCCAUGUAAUUUUUCUACUCUAGUACAUAUUGAACUCCACAUUAAUGUCAUGUUCUUUGGCGCCCCAGACGGUUCCUAAAGUUUGGAAACAAAAUAGAUAGCCAGAAAUUUUUUUAAAAAAUAUUUAUAUGGAUAUUUGUAUGUUCUUUGCAAACUAACAAUAUUGUUUACCAAUAUCAAAAGGAAUAUGGCUAGGAGCCAUUGCCGCAUAUGGCAGGUGAUGGUAGAUGGCGUAUGGGAUUUCGUUAAUUUAAUGGUAUAAUAAGCUGAAAUACAUUUUCUAUUUGCAAAUGAAUCAUAGCUGAAAGUGGUGAGAUUGUUUUUUCGCCGGUUUAGCAUCCUGUGCACCGGUUCAACUGGAGGGAAGCGGUUCACCGAGACGGAUGACAAUUUUACGGCAGAAUCAUUACUUGUUUUAUUAUUAGGUGAAGAUUUUAGCUUUUAGGUAUCUCACAUUAACAAUCUGUUUCUAGUGUAUAAUGUAGGAGACCCGUAAAGAGUCUACACACACAUAUAUAUGUUGACUAUGAAUGUAAGUUUGUUGGUUUUAUGUAUGUUCAUUUGGAGUUUAUAUAAAUUUUACAUUUUAUAGUUUUGUGUAUAUGACGAAGAUCCAUGACUUGCAUUAAUUUAACCUUUCUUCCAACAACUCUUAUGCAUGCUGUUUCUAGGGGAGCGCACUGGUUGCAAUUUUGGUCCCCGAUAUAGCAUGAGGACUUAAGGGAGACGGGCACGUCGUAACCUUAGAUAUUUUUGCAAGAAGCAAAUUAUACUUUGCUUUUGAUUUUCUCCAUGCCAUUUGCUGACUCUUAUCCCUUUUAUUUAUCAUUAUAAGAUGAAAAUAUUGUAAAAACUUGGUUACGUGCGGUCGCAGAAGCUAGAGACUAUUUCUUUUUUUAAAAAUACGCAAGAGGGAGAAACUUGGUAACAGCUAGACAGUGAAGAUCGCAUUUCAUAAGAAAGAUGGUGCACGUUCUUGUUUGGCUGUUAACGAAAUGACUUCGUUUCACCACACCACCAGAGAGCCCCAUUGCACUUGCAGCAAAAGCGUGGAGCCGCUUUCAACCAGCGUGCAAUAAUGCAGUCCCGCGUGUCUUGGUCUUACAGGAUAUUUGGUUCUUUAGUCCGGACUAAAAUUCAUGUCGCAUAGAAUAUUCAGAUGUUAAAUAGGAGGACUAAACAUGAGCUAAUUAUAAAAAUAAUUACACAAAUGGAGGCUAAUUCCCAAGACAAAUCUAUUAAGUCUAAUUAAUCCAUCAUUAGCACAUGUUUACCGUAGCACCGUAUUGUCAAAUCAUGGACUAAUUAGGCUUAAUAAAUUCGUCUCGCAAGUUAGUCUCCAUCUAUACAAUUUGUUUUAUAAUUAGUCAAUGUUUAAUACUCUAUCUAAACAUUCAAUGUGACUGAAAUUUUAGGAGGUCCUAAAGAACCAAACACCCCUUAGUCUCCGCCUGAACUAUAGCAGGUGCUGGCAGCGGUAGCAGGGUCGUCCAUUAUAUCUAUGGAUGGAAAUGAUCUGAUUCGGAUGGAAUCGAAUUCGAAUAGCACUUUUUACCACAUACUAAUCUGAAUUGGAUGUUCUCGAAUGUGAAUGCAAAACGGAUAGUUCAAAUUUGAAUACUUUGCGGAUUUUUGCAUAAUAUUAAUCGAAGAGAAUUUGUUAAAUUUAGCCGAGACAUAAAUUUUUCUAAAUUCAAAUACUUUGCAGAUUUUCGAAUGCAAAUUUUUUCAUACGAUCUCGGUUGAAUACAAACUUUAUAUCAAAGUUGUAUAUUUAGAUUAUAUAUAAAACUUUGUAGUUGACCUCCUUUUCAUUUAAAAUUUUUUAAUAGCUCAAAACAUUAUUCUAAGCUUUCUAAUUUCAAAAUCUUGAAUUUUAAAUUUUUCAAACGACCUCGGAUGCAAACAAGCUCUAUAUCAAAGUGCUUAAUGAGAUAUAAAAUUUUGUAGUUGACAAGUUUUUUAGUUGAAAACAUUUAGUUAUCACAAACAUACAAGUUCUUCAUUUGAUGUCGAGGAUUGGAAGUGUUGAGUUUGAAGAAUAUAUUCUUUGAUUACAAACUUUUCCAUAUGAUCUUGGAUGAAUACGAACUUUAUUUCAAAGUUGCAAAUUUAGAUUAGACCAAAAACAGUAUAGUUUACAAUUUUUUCAUUCAAAAUUAUUUAGUAGCUCAAAAUGUUAUUCUAAACUCUCUAAUUUUGAAAUCUUGAAUUUUAAAAUUUUCAAAUGACCUCGGAUGCAAACAAGCUCUAUAUCGAAGUGGUAGUUCUUAAUGAGAUAUAAAAUUUUGUAGUUCCAUCUGAGAUCAUUUAACAGUCACAAAUAUACAAGUUUUUCAUAUGAUGCUAAGGAUCAGAAAGAUUAAGUUUGAAGGCUGUAUUUUUUUAAUACAAAUUUUUGCAUACGAUCUCGGAUGAAUACAAACUUUAUAUCAAAAUUGUAGAGCUCGAUGAGAAUUUAAACUUUGUAGUUGAUAUAUUUUUCAUUCGAGAAUGUUUAGUGGUCCAAACAUGUAUUAUAAGUUCAGAGAAGAAACACACAAUCGGCCACGUCAUCAAUUGACAACUUCCAAACUGAGCAUUCCUAUUGGUUCACACCUUUCCCUUUCAACUCGUCAAGCUUAUCUCCUCCCACUCCUCCAUCGUUCACUCCCCCUUCCCCUUCCUCUCUCCCUCCCUCCCUCCGCUCCAGCAGUGGCAGCCCGACCUGCCUCCUAGGACGGUGGUGUGCGGGGCUCGGGCAUCCCUGGCCUCUAGUGGCGUGGCAGGGCGGCCUCCAGCAGCGAUGGCGGAACUCGGCCUCCGGUGGCGCACAGGCAGCGCAGCCUACCUGGUCAAAGGCGGCGCAACAGGGCGACCUCCCCAGCCUCCGGCGGCGCGCAGGGCAUCCAUGACCUCCCCGGCCUCCCUUGCCAGAGGUGGUGCGCGGGGCUGCGCCGACCUCCCCAACCAGAGGUGGCAAGGCCCCAGCUUACGGCGGCGCGUGGCUCCCCAGCUAGGGUGUGGUGGGGCGGCGGCAAGUCAGGCGUGGCCGCGUGGGGGUGGGGGGAGGGGGUUGGGCUGGGCGGAUUCAGAUAGUAUCCAUUUAACCAUCCGAAAUGUGGAUAUCCGUUUAACAAUCCGUUUAGCAAAACCGAAUUUGGAUACUUCCACUUAAGUAUCCAACUAGGAUUCGAAUGCGGAUGGUCCUACCAUAUUGUUAUUUCAGCGGAUACGAAUAUGGGAUAAUUCGAAUAACGACUUACCCAUCCCUGAUUAUAUCCGUGUAAAUAAAUAAUUGCGGCAGCAGGUUCCCGUCGCCACGCCCCCGUCAAACCAAACAAUUGCUUGCGCGACACCGUGUUACUAGAUCUUGUACAGUACUCCCUCCGUUGCAGUACUCCCUAAUGAAAGUUGAGAAUCGAUCGACAACCACGGCUAGUUGCUAUGCACUCGAUCAGAUGGUCCAGGCGCCCGCUGGUAAUCAGGUCGUGGUUCACGCGCAUCAGGCCAGCUAUGACGUUGCCAGCAGUGCUCAGUACACAAAUCUAGCUAUCAGUCGGAUCCAAUUGGGCAGGCAUUUGCACUGUGGUUGUGUUUGAACCUGUAGAUGUCGUUGUCAUUAUCAGGCACCAUACAUCCUCUCUCAGAGGGUGUUUCACCCCCUAAACUUUAGCCCCUCUCACAUCGAAUGUUUUAGAUACUAAUUAGGAAUAUUAAACAUAGAAAAUUUACUAAACCCAUUACAUGGAUGGAGGGUAAACGGCGAGACAAAUCUAUUAAAUCUAAUUAGUCCAUGAUUUGACAAUGUGCUGCUAUAGUAACUAUUUGCUAAUGAUGGAUUAAUUAGACUUAAUAGAUUUUUCUUGCUGUUUAGCCUCCGUCUGUGCAAUUAGUUUUAUAAUUAAUUCAUAUUUAGUCCUCCUAAUUAGUCUCCGAAUAUUUGAUGUGACACGGACUAAACUUUAGAUAGCACACCAGGGACCGACACCAUGCAUGCUGAUUUCAUAUCAUAAUUAAGGAAAGUGAUAUCAUAAUUAAGGAAAGUGGUAGCAUCCAAGAAAUCGAUCAUGUUUCUUCCCCCUUUGGCUUUCCUACUAGGAUUUGGAUAGCGGGCCUUCCUACUAGGAUUUGGAAUCCGCUAUCGCAUGACUAUCUUAAUUAUGUCCCAUAGUCCAAAACUCACAAAACAUCAAAAAUCCAUCGAGAAUAAAUUAAGUAAAAAACAUGCGCACACAGAUAAUAAUAAUAAUAAUCAUGUUUCAAUAAAAUUGCUAAGAUUAGAGAUAGUACAUAAACAUAUUAGAUUGUUCGUGACACAUAUCAUGGUGGAUAGUGUCUGUGUCCUUAUUACAAGCAGCGAUAGAUGCUUGUCACCACACACACGCACGCACAGAUGCACGACAUACAUAUAGUUGAGACCAACGGAUGGACGUCCCAUAGGGUGAAUAAUUUAUUGGAGAUAAAUAUUAACAUAACUUGGCCAUAGCUUGAAGCAUAGCAACAUAUGCUUAUGAAUGGCAUUCAUGCGGGUAGCAAUGCUAUCAUAUGCUUUUAGGCUUGUCCUUAGCUUCUUCCAUCUUAUAGCAAACACUGCCAUUUCUUCCAUCUUAGCAGCAACUGUCAAAUUAAUUGAGAUAUGGAAAUCCCAUUAGCGCAUGAGUUAAUUUUGCAGUGGAAAUAGAGUAGAAGAUGUCUUCAUAAUGUAAGUAAUAUGACUCUGACAUAGGGAGUGAAGUCAACAAAUUACAUUAACGGAAAUGCAUGGAAGGCCACGCAUAUGUAUUAGUCCGAUAUGCUACAAAGCUUGUAUGUACAUAUAAUAAAUUAAAUGCAUUGAAUAGAGUGAUUUUAGUGAAUUUACCUAAAUCGGAUUAAAAAACAUGGGAAACAACAAGUGUUCUUGUAGGGCUUUGUUUAGUUCCCAAAUUGGGAGUAGCAAAGUUUGCAUUUUACCAUAAAUGCGCAACUAUAGCAUGUAGCAUUUUGUUUGUAUUUGUGAAUUAUUAUCCAAACAUUGACUAAUUAGGCUCAAAAGAUUCAUCUCGCAAAGUACAACAAAACUGUGCAAUUAGUUUUUGAUUUCGUCUACAUUUAGUACUCCGUGCAUGUACCGCAAGUUUGAUGUGAUGGGGAAUCUUGCUUUUCAAUAGUGACAAAGUUGGGAUUUCGGGGGGAAGGCCUGUGUCGGAGCCACAUGCAAGAAUGGCUGACAUUGAGGCUCAGACAAAGCCCAAUGGCAACUGCUGACAUGCGAUUAAAUUUAGAUAUCCACAUCCAGCCAUUCACAUUUAUGAGAUAUGGACACGGUGCAAAUGGGUGGGGUCCUGAUAUGGAGGUGCGAAUGGCUGUCUACUUGUAUAGUGUAGCUCCAAUGUACGUAUAUGUAUCUUAUGCAUGUAUACAGUUGCACAAACUCUGAACCAACUCUUCAUAACAGGUCUUUGUUACCAAGUAACUUUACUUUUGCACGUUUCAGCCGAGAGGUAGAAGAGAAUAUUUUUGCAUUUUCCAUGUGCGUCAGUGGUAGAGAACUAGGAAUUAGUUCCGGAUGGUAGGGCACAAAUCUUCCAAACAACUAUCCGAAAUUAAGCAAUCGAGAUAAAGGGUGCCAUCUAUUCUCUCCGAAAAACACAGGUACCAAAAAGAAGAAGAGAAGAGGGAGGGCCUCCCGUUAAGGCCCGCUCGGGGUCUCCAUCCCACCACGCGCCCUCCCAACCCAAAGCCCAUCGUUUUCCCUCCGUCCCUCCCCUCUCCAUUGCCGCCGCCGCUCCCCUCAUCCGAGCUCGAUACGGGUGGUCGGCGGCCCCUCCUCUCCGCUCCCGCCCCCGGCCUCCCUUUGACCGCCGGGCGCCGGCAUCACUGCCGCGGCCAACCCCAGGGCGCAGCGCGUGCCUCUAUUUCUCUCCCCCGUUCAAGGGCCCUUUGAUGGCGACGAGCACCCACCCACCAGGUAUGCCCUCCCCUUCUCUUCCUAACCCUAAUAUAUUCGGAUCUCACCCAGUCACAAUAUAUUACCUAAUAGCUUCGAUUUUGUUUGCAAAAAUCAUCACGUGCGCACCCAUGUCCGCUAGAUUCUUGCGCCUGAUCCUGUGCUGCUAUGGUUUGGGCGGGGUAGACUAGUUGAUUCGUGCACUUUUGGGUGCUUGUAGUGCUAGGUUUUGGAGGGGGAUAGCCCAGUUGAUUCCUCCGUUUUGGGUGCUCAUGGUGAUAGGAUUUGGAUGGGGAUAGCCCCAAUGAUUCGUGCGCCUUUGGGUGCUGGGGAUAGUUUUGGGUGCCUGGAUAGUCCAGUUUCAAUGUCAGUAUAUGCGUAUUUUGGGGAGAAUUUUGUUUUGGGUGGUUCUGGUGCUAGAGUUUCUGAUGCUUAGUAGCCCAGUUUCAAUCAAAUUCCCCCAUGGGUCGUGCACUACGGGAAACAAGAAAAUUGCCGAGUGUAUUUUUUUUGUCGAGUGUUUUUUUUCGAGCACUCAGCAAACAAGCUCUUCGCCGAGUGCCAAGUCAAAAACACUCGGCAAAAAAAAACACUCGGCAAAUCGGGGCUUUGCCGAGUGUCAAAUAAAAAACACUCGGCAAAGAAGGGGGUUUGCCGAGUGUUAAAAAAAACACUCGGCAAACAGGAGGGUUUGCCUAGUGUUUUUUUGACACUCGGCAAAAAAAUAAUUGUUUUUCCUCUUUUCACCUUGAAAUUUUUUCUACUCCCCACAUACAACACGUGGUACUCCAUGUUAAAAUUUGGUAUAUUUUUGGAUUUAUUUGCUAUAUUUAUUUAAUUAAUUGCAUUACAAGGAAAUUUUUGGUAUAAGUCAAAUUUGAACUGCAAGUGAUUCAAAUUGUGGAACAAAAUGAGUAGAAAAAUGAUAUUCAUGUUAUUUGGCUCAAUUUGAGACCUGACCCAUGAAAUGAAAAGAAAUUUCGAACAUCUUGUUCAGGAAACACGACAAUGAACAUGUGGCGGUAGUAUUUUUAAAUUGUAAAAAAAACAAGCAAAGUCUGAAAAUCAUGAGAUUUGUAGUUAUGUGAUGAUAUAAUACGUGGAAGCUGUGGAAAAAAAUUGGAAAGGUUUUGCACAUUUCAUCAUGUACGAUGAUUACAAACCGAAGCAUAUCAGAAGAAGAAUAGUAACUUUGAGAAGGAUUCGAUAAAAUUUAGAGUCGAAGUGACGGUCGAGUUCGGUUUGACUACAAAACUUUUUGUAUAGUCAGUAGAGAACAUAUCUUAUUUCGUGUGAAAAUUUGGUAUUUUUUGAAACUGUUGGAUAUUUUUAAUUUUUUUUUAAAAAAACUUUGCCGAGUGUCCUAGGGUAGACACUCGGCAAAGAAAAACUUUACCGAGUGCCCGCCUAGGACACUCAGCGAACCUUUUUUUAAACCUACCGGCUCCGGCCGGCCCAGCCCACAAACACCACCCGCCCCCCGCCCCCGCGCCUUCUUCCUCACGCCGCCCCCGCCCCCCACCCGUGCCUCCGGACCGCCCCCUCCUCCCCCUGGCCUCCCCUCACGCCGCCCCCCUCCUCCCCUAGCUCCCUCCACCGGCGGCCCUCCCUCCCCCGGCGCACAUCCUCCACUCCUCCUCCCCUUCCCUUCCCUCCCCUCCCCUCCCCUCUUCCUCCCCUGGCCGGAUCUGGCGCCCCUAGCUCCCCUUUCUUCCGCGGCCAGAUCUGGCGCCCUCCCGGCGGCGGGUCGUGGCGAUCGGGGCGGCGGCGGCGGAUCAGGCCGCGGGGCGGCGGCGGCGGCGGGUCGUGGCUACCGGGGCGGCGCCCUGCCCCUCCCCUCCCUCUCCAUCUCCGGCUGCCGUCCACCCCCUCCCCGGAUCCGCCCCCCUCCCCUCCGCGCGGCCAGCCCCUCCUCCCUCUCCGGCCGCCGCCCCGGCCCCUCCUCUCCCUUUCUCCGGCCACCGCCCCGCCCAUCUUCUCUGGAUCCGGCCGGAUCCGGCCGCCGCACAGCCCCUCCUCCCCGGAUCCGGUGGGCGCGGACUUCGUGGUGGUGGCGCCGGAUCCCUCCCCUCCCUCUCCAGAUAACUCCCUCCACUCCUCCGCUCUUCCCCUCUCUCGCGCGGCGGCCUCUCUCCGGCCGCCGCCCCGCCCCUCUCCCCGGAUCCGGGGGGGGGGGGACUCCGCCCCUCUGCCCCGGAUCCAGCUCCCCGACCCGCGAGUGGGGCGAGCUUGCUCAUGCGGUCGACGUCGAGGCCAGGGUGUGGUGGAGGUGGUGGCCGGCGGGUGUGGUGGUGGUGGCGGCGGCGGGCAUGGCGGCGCGGAGGCAAGGCACGGCGGCCGGUGGGAGGCACGGGUGCAAGGCGUCGACGGCAGGAGGCAAGGCACGGCAGCAUGGGAGGUGGUGCUGUGGUGGUGGUGCUGGCGGUGGUGGCGGCGGCGGAGCAGGAUGUGGUGGUGGCGGAGGAUGUUUUUUUUUCAAAAAUUUGUUGCCGAGUGUUUUCUCGGCACUCGGCAAAGACUUUACCGAGUGCCCGACACAAAACACUCGGCAACUCAGUGUUUGCCGACUGAAAAAUUGCCGUGUGCCGUUUGCCGAGUGUUACACUCGGCAAACGGUUCGCCGAGGGUUUUUUGCCCUUCGCCGAGUGCCCCUAGCACUCGGCAAUUUCACUAUCUCCCGUAGUGGUGGCUGGACUUAUGGGGGGAUCAUUGAUGGGGGACUAGUUGGAUACUUUUUGGCUGUUUUGGGAGUCCUUGGCAGCGGCUUCUCAGGGCGUACGUAGCCCAUUGUAGAUUCCAGCCGAGAAGAUUAAGGAAUUGUGACUGCAACCAUGUUACUUUUCUAGGACUCUGUUUCUGAUAUUGUUCCCGCUGCAUCUUUUCAUCCCCAUGGUGAAUGUUGCUGUUGAUCUGUAGAUUGGAUUUGUUCCUCGGUAGCUUUAUUAGAUUUGUGCUGAAUGAUAAUCUCUGCCUGUGAUAUUUUUCUUCAUUGCGGAUGUGUGCCGAGUAUUAUCCCCUUUGUUCAUUCUGUUGGCUUUUUUUAUUGUCUCUGUACUCGGCUGUUCAGCUUGUGCAGCUAAUGAUCUAAUGUAUUUUGUCGUAACUAUGUAUUUUUCGGAUGUGUGCCGAGUAUUAUCCCCUUUGUUUAUUCUGUUGGCUUGCUUUCAUUGAUCUUAAGAUAACUGGUGCUAUAAAUUCACACUAGCUGAUGCACUUGCAAAUAGCUAUGUAAAUAUGAAAAGAAGUAUUUUUUUAUCCUUUUGUUUGUUUGGCAUCAUAUCUGUUUAAAUGGCAUAGCAAUAAGAAUUUUUUGUUUUUGGGGAAUCAUAUCUGCUUAAAUGGUAUAGAAAAUGCUGAGUGCACUGUCAAAUAGAUUUUCCAGCAGUCUGCUUUCAGUUGUUUUUGCAAAUCCUCACAGGCCAGUGAACUGACUUUGUUUUUACCACCCCAUGCCAUUUAAAUGACUAAAUCAGUCAGCCUAAUACUAUAUAUGGUCAUGCUAUGAUCUUAUUUCUUGAAGCUCUAUAGGUCAACCCAUAAGGGUAACUUAGUUUUUCCUAUUCUGGCUGGGGAAGUGGAUACGAUGGCUAUCCUUGGUAGAGUUAAAUACAUUGGCGGCUCUUAGCGCGCCAAUGUGGCACCACAAUAUCGAACAUAUGUAGAAACCCCCUUGUUUUUUCUCAUAUCCCUCUCUCUCAGCGUCCUCUUCUCUUCUUCUCCUCUGUCUCCUCCCCUCCCAUCGCGUGCUUUAUUGCGCCGCCGCCAUCCGCCUCCAUGUAUGAACACGUCGUUUGUCAUGAAGAAGCAGUUGAUGAGGCAAUCAAGCAUGUGGUGCACAAGGUUCUUCUGCUGGCCAAGUCCGAGUCGAACAGCCGCGCAUUCAUUGGGGAAGCACGCGCCAGGCAUCACCAGGCUCCUCGUGCCCCUACUCUGCUCCAAGGACUCGGUGCUUCGACGCGCUGCUUUCCCUGUCCGGCGAGCGGGGAUCGUUGGGAGAUGAUCGAUGGAGGAUGGAGCUGAUCCUCCUGUACACGGUGCCGGUGGGGAGCAGGGAGCUGCGGAGCAGGUCCACGGGCGGCGCCAUUACAGCAGGUGCAGGCUAAGGGUAAUGAGCAGAUCGAGGCGAUGGAGGAGGACCCGCACGAGGUGCAGCUUCUUCGCCUCCUGCGCAAAGUCAGCGCCCAAGCAGCCGCUGAGGGACAGGCCGAGGCUUAGCUCGAUCUCAUCCGACUAAAUGGUGGCUGCACUCCCACAGUCCCACUGGUGCUCCUCCCUUCUGUCCGAACCUGCCGAGGAAAUCCCUCGAUGCCAUGGGUCCCGGCUGGACGACUACUCCUCCCACAGAUUGACUGAGGAAGAAGAGCUUCUCAGUGUCCAAAAAUUCAGUUACACUGGAAACAGCAACCAAUUACGUUCUUCCGGCUCAGCCAAGCCCCAAUCUCCUUGCUUCUGUGCGCCCCUGCUAAAUAUUCCAGAAACCAAUCUGGUUAGUUGUUUUUUCACAUUUUCAGUGCAUGCCGGUGCUGCUGUGUGCGGCAUGCAUGGAGUUGUCGUGGGAGUGCACGGUGGCUUAGCUGGUGCGCCAGUGCGCGGGCACGAACACAACGGUGAAGAUGGCAGGGCCAUCUCAAAGCUCCUGAGCACCUGCACGCGUCGCUGAGCAGGACAUGCUGCGACGGUGGGCGAGCGCUGCUAACGCCCUGGGGAAGAGCAGUGGGUGCAGAGAGAGGGAGCGAGGGAGAGGGGUUCUUGUAUAUGUUUGCUAGCGUGGCACCGUUUACGGUGCCCGCCUAAGUGGCAUUCACGUGUCAUUCAUCCCAAAUGGUGUUGCAAGGUUGAACCUAUUGUGGGAGGCUUUUGGUUUCCCUUGACAGUAUCACCAGUGAUAUCACUGCGUUCUGGUUAUGUAUGAAACACUUGUCCUUUUAAAACCUUUCUGAAUUUAGAAACGAAUUUGAAACAUUACCCUCAUUUCCAUGUUUUUCUAUCUUUUGUCCCUGUAAAAUCAAACUAAAUUUGAAUUAUUAUGUUCAGAACUACAAGCUGAUUUACUUGUCCCAUUUGCUAAUAACAGGGCCUUGUGAUUUCUAAUGAACAUUGCAGAGCAUGUUAUAAAGCGUAUGCAUGAACACCAAGGGGAUGAAACCAUUGGUAUAUUUCUCACAACCUUUUGAACUUAUCAUUUAGCAUAUUUGUGUUCUAGUGUGACGUUUCAGCCACGAGACAUGAGAAAUGUUAGCUAUGGAUUUUGGUUAUUCAUCAUGGGUUCACAGAUUUGUUUUUCUCUAAAAGAAUUGGGAAGUAGCUUUCUUUCUGGGUAUAUGUGGGGAAAUGCAUAUGCAAUCUUUUAUUUAUUGAGGUGACUGUAAAAUUCUUGUCUGACUGAAUAUGCGAUUUCAACCUACAUGCUAUACUUAGGGAAAUUUGUGAAUCUCCUAAUGUCUGCUGCAUGGCAUGAAUGCAUAUUUUACUGGUCCAUAAUGUGAAGUUCUGUAUAUAAACUUCUCGUGUUGACCCUUUAGAACAUGCUAACUGGAGAGUUUUCUAGAGUAGUUAAACAAGAGAUUUAGUUAAAUCUGCACACAUAGGUGGGGCCUGGCAUACCCUAAGAAUCGGCCUAGCCGGUCAGCCCAUUAGUAAAAAAAAAAGCACCGCAGUCAGCAGUCCCCACGUUGGUCUUCCUCGAGUCGCGACUCGCGAAGCUCCCAUCCUCCGAGUCCAAGAUGGUGGACUGUGUCGAGCGCGGGGCGGGCGAUUAGUUGCCCGGCCGCCGGCGGGGGAUGGCCGGACGGCCAGAUCGCCGACUCCUCUAGUCCUCCCUCCAGCCUCUGCGCUUCUUUCACAGUGGAGCUAGCGGCGAGGCGCCCGACCGACACCCUUCUUCCCAAAUCCCGGCAGCCCUACCUCGAUUUGGCCUCCUCCGAUCAUUUGAUAAUCAAUUUGAUGAAAUUAAUAUGGAGUUGCUUUCUUGUAUGGUUGCCUUCAAUCCUGCUAAUUCAUUUGCUUCAUUUGAUGCACAAAAGAUACAUAGACUUGCUAUAUUUUUAUCCACAAGACAUCACAAGCACGGAUUUGCUAAAACUUGAAUUCCAGCUCGAUAUUAUAUUGAUGAUGUGAGAUAGGAUGAUAGUUUCAAAGGCCUACAAGAUCUUGUUAACUGAGACUCAGUUAAGCUUGUUGAAACAAACAGGCAUAAUAUUUAUGACUUGGUUUACUUGCUUCUCAAAUUGGUAUUGGUUCUUCUUGUGGCGACAGCUAGUGUUGAAAGGGAUUUUUGUGCAAUGACUUUGAUCAAGAGUAAGCUAAGAAAUAAGAUGGGUGAUAGUCUUUUGGAUGAUUGUCUUAUCACAUUCAUUGAGAAAGAUAUUUUCUUUGAAGUGGAUGAAGAAGAUAUAAUUAAGACUUCAUAUCCAUUAGAAAUCGUAGGCUGGAGAAGAAGUAAUAUUUUAAUUUUCUUUGAACGUUAGGUCUGUAAGCUUCUUUUAAACUAUCUACAUUAUAAUUUAUGGACCUUUUAAUUUAACCGUUGAAUUCAUGAUAUUAUGAGAUUUUUUUAUCUAUGUUAUUAUUGUUUACCGAUUUAUUACCAAAUUAUUAGUUUGAUCUUACAAUAUUGUAUUUUGGAUGAUUGGCUCGGCAUACUCUAAGUUUAAAUCCUAGCUCCGCCACUGUUUGCACAUUAAUGUGGCUUAUAUGUGUGGAGUCACUUAACCUAUGCACUUGGACCUCCACUCCCUUAGGUUUUAUGAACCUAAUUUGACAGCCUGCUCGUCUUUUAUUUUCUACCAAUCAGCUAGGAACGAACAUGGUGAUGUUUGCAUCUCUGCCAUCAAUGGCUUACAUGUCAUUAUGUAUCACAUUAGCAAGUCUUGUUUUGUUAUUGGCUGGGAUGACGGGGACUCUAGCUGGAAUUGAAUCAAAGUGGUAGAUCACAGGGUAUUCAUUGCCAUGUAUUUCUGCAGUUGCAUGGACUUGCAUCAAACGGACCUUCCUACUUAUGUGAUUGUCCUAUAUGAUCUCCUUUGAUUUCAUUUGCACACUGUAAUCACAUUAGCUAGAACACUCGCUUUUUGCUUCAAAUUUGAAAUUCAUAUCAUGAUGGACUAGAACGCUGAAUUUCUUGAUUGCUGAGUUACUAAUCACAUUGUGGCGCUGCCAAAGAAGCUGGACUCUUCAUUGUUGUUGCCUUGUGGGCUGCCGUGUGCAAAGAACAAGAGCGCACGGUAUUAUAAUAGCAGAGCAGAACACAGACAAGCGACAAGGAGCGGAGCAGAGCAGAGCACAGCCAGGCACAAGCAGUAGAGUAGAGCAGAGCAACCGGGAGAGGAGAGGGCACAUAUGCAGAGUAGAGCAGAGCCAAGCGCAAGCAUUCAUGCACUCAAGCAUGCAGCAGAGGUGUAGCAAGGCAAGCACAAGCAGCAGAGCAGAGGGAAGGGAAGGCUGGGAGAUGAAUAGGCGAAUAGUUACCUGGACAGAGCAGAGGGAAUGGAGAUGAUGCAGAUGCUUCCGGAGACUCGAGAUUUGGAGAGGAACAAGGCCACGUUGUGAACAAGGUCUCCUUUCUCUUCUCUAUUUCCCGCGCAAGUACUUGUGCAUAGUGGCUGCCUCAUCCUCCAGGACGUCCACUUCAACCUGAGGCGGGUGCCACAGACAUCCUGGCUAUGCGACGGCUACCCCCAGCACACCCCCGGCGCCUAUGAACCAUGAUCCUAAUACUAUAAAUUGUCAACCUUGUAAUCUUAUUUCAAGCAUGCUCUCUAUGUCAACCUGUAAGGUUAACUUCGUUUUUCCUUUUCUGGGUAGGGGAGUGGAUAUUGCUGUUAUUUAUAUUAUGUUGAUAUUGGUUUCCACAUGUCAUUCACCCCAAAUGUGUUGCAAGGUUGAACCUAUCAUCGGAGGAAUUUUUUUCCCUUUACCUUUAUAUCACUACGCUCUGGUUAUGUAUGAAACACUUGUCUUCUUAAAAACCUUAAUUUAGAAACAAAUUUGAAACACUAUCUUCAUUUACAUCCUGUAUGUGUUUUCUACCUUUUGUCCUAUAUGAUCUGCUUUGAUUUGAUUUGUGCAUAGUUUUUUCAAUUCAGACCUGGUGAUUUCUGAGGUUCAUGUUGUGCUGAUAAGCAGCCUACUAUUCAGUAACACUUUCAUGUGGCAUGUUCAUGUUAGCUAGCUAGAAACACUGCUUUUAGCUUCAAAAUUCAAAUUCAUGACAUGAUGGACAUUGACAAUGAAUUUCUUGAUUGCCGAGCUAUGUACACUGUAAUUCAGACCUGGUGCUUUUAGUUUUUUUCUUGAUUGCCGAGCUAGAAACACUGUGCUUUUAGUUUUUUCAAUUCAGACCUGGUGAUUUCGGUUUUUUCAAUUCAGACCUGGUGAUUUCUGAGGUUCACGUGUCACACCGAUUUUAAGAACAAAAUCGAGUGCAUUAAAUAUACAUGUACGCUAGGAUCAGGUUACACACAUGUACGACAUAAGCGAAUAUCAAAGACAAUGCCAUAACGAAAUAAAGAGAGUAUUAAUCAUUAUUACAUGACCGAAAGUCUCAAAUAAACCACAAAAUCUAUUUAUUACAUAGCGGAACUUCUAAGAUAGCAACGUCUCCACAGGCAGCUGACUGAAGAACUGUAUGCCUAGAACUCUUCAAAAUCGUGCAGGUACUCCUCCAGAUUAGCUUGGUAUGAACAACGGUUUUGCAAGGGUGAGUACACUUAUGGUUGGUACUUAAUAAGUCGUGGGAAACAAUGUAGUGUAAGGCAAAUCAAGGUAUGGCUAAGGCUUAAACAGCAUCAGCUUUUAAUUUAGUUGGUCAAAUUUUAUUAGCAAUUAAUUAGACGUAAAUUUAUACCACCCGAAAUUAAACAAGAACAUGAAUAAAAUAAUAACAUAACCAUAAAUGAAAUGACAACAAUUUAAAUCCAUCUUUUCAUAGCAUUAUCAUGUGAGGGUCCAGUCCGUUCUUAACCGUGAGCACCGCUGAUCGAUCAGUUUUACACUCUGCAGAGGUUGUACAUCUUUACCCACAAGUCGCGUAAAAGUUCAAAAGAAUUUUGGACCCAACCAUGCGGUAUUUGCAAGGCACCAUACCACACUUCCAAGGUGUGAUUGCAUAUGAACGCUACGAGGCCUUUACAAAGAUUCAUUAGUAAGUGGUAACCCGCUAAGGUUUCGGUAUUUGGCGUGCACAACCUAUCACAGGCCGCUAAUGCAACGACUCAGUCCCCCCUCUUGCCUCAUCACGAGUAAGAUUACCCCAGACUAAGGUUUCUAAUUAUUCAGCCAAGAUCAGAACCAUUUAGUCUUGUGGUAGCACUGUUUUCCUGGGUGGUUCUCCAUGUUCCGAUUAAACAUAAUGGUCUUGUAUUAAUGGAAGGUAUAACAUAAAUAAUACCAAAUUAAUAAUAAUUCAGAUUAAAUCACCAUAACCAUAUUUGAGCACUAAGCAUGAGCUACCCAACAUAAAUUUAACCCGGUUGGUCAAGGCAAGGUAGAUAAAGUCUAGGAAAUUCUUAAUUGGGACCCAUCAAGUUUAAAUUAUACUUUGCAUGGUAUGUUGCAUAGAACAUGAAAGUAAAUGUGAAUAGGACUGAAAAGGAGUGAUUAGGGACACGACUUGCCUUUUUAACCUUGUUCUUGCUGUUCGUACUCUUCGAAAACUUUGAUCUUCAAAUCCCUUGAACUGCUGACCGUCUACACGCGUCACACGACCACAUACAAGCAAACAAAUAUAAUACAUAAGAAAACAGUACACCAAUCAUAAUUAAAUAGAAGAAACAAAUUUGAAAAGCUAUUCUACGCAUUAAAACGAAAACACGGAUACAAGGAACGUUAAAAACGGAGCUACAGUGCAAAAACUACGCUUAAAACAAGAUGCAGGGGUAUAACUACGAGAAACCAAACUUCCAGGGAUUUAAUUUUAAAUAAUUUUGAACUGCAGAAGGGGCAGCAGGGCAAAACGUAGAAAAUGCAGGGGCUUAAGCGCAAAAGCAUGGCUGCUGACUCAGCUGACUUGAUGUGGAUCGUCGGAUGGCGAUCCGGCGGCCGGCAGCUGCUGCGCUGACGUCAGCGACGGCGAGCGCCGGCGAAAAACGGCAGUUCGCCGGAAUCGCCCGGGAACGCGCGACUGGGUGCAGAUUUGAGCGAGGAUUAGACUAGCAGAUAGAAACGAGCGCAGUGAACUCAUUUGGGAUGCCUACGGCGAGGACUUGGCGACGGCAUCGGCUCCGGCGAGAACUUGCGGCAGGGAAACCAAAUAAAAUAAAAUAACACGGUUCAGAGAAGCGGCGCUGGAGGAACGCGAGCGAUUUUGCGUGCGAGCGGAAGAAAACACUGCGAGGAAGAUGACUGCGGGCCCUGCUUGUCUGCGGCAGGAGGAGAGCUGCGUGCGAGAAGAACCUGGCCACGAUCUGGGCCGUUGCCUUCGAUCUGGGCCGAGGCAAGCUAGCUGGCCCGCUGCUGCGGAAAGGUGCUGGGCCACGGGCGGAGCACAGCGUCGGGCCAGAAAGGAGAUGGCUGCUGCGAGGAAACAAAAGAAAAUGAACUGGGCUGCGACAGAGGAAAACUGGGCGUCGGCCAGAAAGAAGCUGCGUGCAGCUUGCUCUUGUUUCCGAACUAGAAACAGGAACUGACGGAAAGACAGAAAUCAAUUGGAGACUGAAACUGACGCCCCAGACUCUGAACUUCGAAAAAACAGGACAACCAGCCAACUGACAGAAAAAAAAAAGCUUAACAACCCAAAAGCAGUACACAACCACGAAACCAGGCCACAAGACUGAAAAAGCUUGAUAGGAACAUCUGGCGACUGAACCAAAAAACUACAGAACUGCAACUGAAGAACUAGAGAACAGAUAAAUAACUGAUUGAACUCUGAAACUGAAACACCAAAGAGCAGGAAGCUGACUGACGGAAAAUGCAAAACAGCAACCCAAGGUGAAACACAAAUUCUUCUUCAAGCAUUCAAACAAAGAGAUAUGCAACAGCAUGAAUGCUCAAUAAAAUCCUAUAUUUCAUUAAUUAAUUAGAAAAAAUGCUCAAAUGCCUAGAAAAAUGCAAAAGUGACCUUAUAUGCCUUAAACAAGCAAAUUCGUUUCUAGCGAUUUUUGGUAAAAUGCAAAAUUAGAGAUUUUGGGUGUUACAUCAUGUUGUGCUGAUAAGCAGCCUACUAUUCAGUAACACUUUCAUGUGGCAUGUUCAUGUUAGCUAGCUAGAAACACUGUGCUUUUAGCUUCAAAAUUAAAUUCAUGACAUGAUGGACAUUGACAAUGAAUUUCUUGAUUGCCGAGCUAUGUACACUGUAAUCACAUUGUGGGGCUGAUAAAAUAAGCAGCGUUGAGACACAUAACAAUUGAAUCUUAAGCUUCACACAGAAUCUGGACCAGUCAUCCUCAUUCCUGUCAUGCUGGAAAUGUCUUUGAUACAUUUCAAUCACAGGCAAUUGAAUUCGUACUGGGGAGGAUGGCAAUGGUGCAUGAAGAGAGAUCAAUGUGGCAAAUCUCACAUUGUUCAUUACCAGGUAUCUCCGAUUUCUGGUUAUUUUAAAUUUACCUUGACAUGUGACUUAUUGAGGUAUUGUAUUUCAUCUAAUGGUAGUUCUGAAUUUAUGGUAACCUUGGAUGGGGUUUGUCACUUUAUACACGCACGGACUUACAAAGGACAGCAAAUGAGUAUAUUUAGAGGGCUCCUGUCCAACCAUGGACUAUACUUAUGUACCCUUUUUUGACAUGGUAAUUUGAGGUUAAUGGAAAAGUAGCGAUAGUCGCCUCCAGCGAAGCUACCUUCUUCGAAAGCUCCGAGGCUGCUUUCUCGCUCUUAGCAAGCCGAUCCCUCGUAAUCAUCGAAGAGUAAGAGACCUACAGAUUUUAAAAACCAAGUUACCAAAAAUAACGAAGUAAAAGACAACACUCGCAAGACAAACCACCAAACUAUCUCAUAAUUGUACCUUCUUUACGAGGUUCGCCUCCAAGUUAAAGAGCUCUUCCAAGAUCAUUGACUUCACAGCUUGCUGAAAAUCUAUGCGCCAAAGGAUAUAGUCGUAAGCAUAAAAUAAAAAUUGGUAAAAACCAAGGACAGCAAAGCCAUCUACAAGCUGUUCUUACCCUCAUACUUUCGCACCUCAACGGCGAUCGGAACAACCUUCUCUCUAGCCUCGCCCUUAGACGCCACCACAAUCUUCCCGCCACACAAAUCCACAACCCCUCCUUUACCUUUGCCCUCUCCCGAAGUCGUCGUGCCCGCCUUCUCCACCCUUUUUGAACCGCCAACAUCUGCAUAGCGCUCGCAACCUUCACCUUCAGCCCCCCAGACCAAAGACAGGUUGUGAGGAUUAUAAACCCUACCUUCGGCGCAUGUAGCUAGAAUCUCCGUGCGCCCGCUCAAGCCCAGACACUCAUUCAGUCCCUGAAGCCCCGCCGGCAACCUCUCACCUACAUCAUAACAUUCAACUUUUAGCCUCACAUGAUCCUCACAACUAACCUUACCAACGCCCCCCAUAGUUUCUUCCAAGUCCUUCAAAAAUUUCGUUGAGGCCUCACCACAAUCAAAGAACCGUAGCAUCGAUAGAAACACCUCUACAUGCUUACCAGAUCUCACAGCUUCGGCACACCCACCCUUUGGAUCAGAUGAGAACGCAUCCACAAGCUUCGCCUUUUCGGUGGCAAACCCCCUCUCAAGUUUCCCAACAUCAGUCAAGAGAUGUUGCGCGCUCUUAAACUUCGAGCUUAUGGAAGGCACCGUGAUCUUGGUACCAGCUGCCGAAGACGCGUCAACCUUGGCACCCGUAACAGUAACAGGAGCAAAUCGAGGUUUCUUGGCGCCUCUUUUGAUCCGUGCGGCGGGCCCGGUGGAUGAAGGUGCAAGAGCUGGAACCUCCUUAGGAGGGCGCAUAGAGACAGGAACAACAUAUGCCGGAUUGCUCAAGUCGCCAGACGAAGCUGUCGACCACGAUGGCAACAUAGCAGACGAAGCCCCCGCGGUCAUUUCCUUCCUUUUUUGCGCCUCCAAAUUCAAGGUCUUUUGCUUCGCCUUAGCGGUCACUUGCAAUUCAAUAGUGAGCUUCACCAUGGGUACGAAGUCAAAUUUUGCCUUUUUCCUCUGCUCAAGACUAGCACCGCGACGGCGCCUCUUGCCCGUAACUUUGGGGUGAGGCAGAACCACAAUAUCAUACAAGUCAAAAAUCUAAGAUGAUGACAUUCCAUUUGUAUCCAUGAUUUAUAUUGUGUUCCUUGAAUAUCCAUUAAAGUCUACUUGAAUUGAUUUGCAAUUAUGUGAAUUGUAUGUGAAACUCUUUCCUUGUAUGGUUAUUCUAAAGUUGUCCCUAGUCGGAGUUCAUGUGAGGACACAUGAAUAUUAGACUAGCACAUGUAUUAGUUGAUGACUAUGUUUCACAAGUCAUGGACAUGAAGAUGUGGAACUAAUAAUGUGGGCACAUGUGGAGACACGUGCUAGGACUGACCCAACACGAGAAGUAGUUCUCUCUUUAUACAACAUAUACGCUUUGUCCUUAGACCUGAGAUUGUCGCAUGUACUCAAGAUGUGGAUCGACUUACUUAGGGGCUAUCAAAUUCUACGCCGUAACAGGGUAGUUAUAAAGGUAGCUUUCGGGUUUGUCAAGAAGCAUGCUAUGAGACAUGGUCAAUCAAGAUGGGAUUUGCCCCUCUCUGAUUGAGAGUGAUAUCUCUGGGCCCCUCGAGUGAUCGGAUCCGAAAAUGCAUGGCCAUGCUACAUACGAUUAAGAGUUAGCCUACAAAAGGAUUCCGAAUCAUAGGAUCGAGAAAGAGCGGUCGGCUUGAAGCUAGACCAAAUAUCGUGAGGCAAAGGGAAUAGCAUGUAUAUAAUGUUGUGAUGGUUCGUCUGAUAUGAUCUUCGUGUGCGUAUAGGAGUUGGCACGUCUUGCUAGAGGUCGCUACCGACUAUUGGGCCGAGUAGGAGUACUCAGGCCAUGUCUAUACGUAUCCGAACCCAUAGGGUCACACACUUAAGGGGCUGGAAGCCCAAUUCGGAUGUGAUCCGAAUUGGAUUAGGUUUAGAAGUACUAAUGGGCCUUGGACCUAGAGGCCCGUUAGGAACCUCUAUAAAUAGAGGGGUGGGGGCGCCCUAGGGUUUACACCUUUUUGGUGAAACACAUCUGCCGCGCCUCCCACGCCUUCGCCUGUUGCAACUCGCGGACCUAGCAGUCCGGCUUGCGACGCUUCCUCCCUGCACGUGUGGAUACCUUGGAAGUGUUGCUCCUGCAGCACUUGGACGAGCCGCCAACGAGCCACGACGAGCCACGAUGAGCCGACGAUGAGCCGCGGCACGAGGGGGAUCUUGCUGCACGUGGACGAGCUGCUGAGGAGCUGCUGGACGUCGAUGUGUUCGACUACGUACGACUACGCUGAUCGACUUCGCUGCAUCAACGCGAAUCUACAUCUUCCGCAUCAUUGCAUCGAGUGGUAAUCCCGUGAUCCUGAUACGGCAGUUUUCCUAGUUUACGCGGUAGAAAAUUUUGUUUUGUGCUAGUGUAGCCUAACUCAUAUCCCAACAACGUGUGCUAUAGGUCACGCAAGCCUGAAAAUGGCCACACCGGACACCGGGUACGAAAACAUGGGGGAUGGACCGAACAUUUGAAAAUGGCCUCCAUAUGUGUUUUCGGCUAUGAAAAUGUGUGUUAUAGGUCACAGAAGCUUGAAAACGGCCGCACCAGCCACUAGGGACGAAAACGUGGGGGAUGGACCAAAGACAUAAAAAAUAGCCUCCAGACGCGUGUUCGGCCAUGAAAACGUGUGGUAUAGGUCCUGGAAGGCCAAAAACAGCUACACCGGCCACCUGGGACGAAAAAGUUUGUGUAAGACCGAACACUUGAAAAUAGCCUCUGGACGCGUGUUCGGCUAUGAAAAGGUGUGUUAUAGGUCACACGAGCCCCAAAACAACCACAGCGAACACCAGCUACAAAAACAUGGGGGAUGGAUCGAAUAAUUGAAAAUGGCCUCCAGACGUUUGUUCGGCCAUGAAAUCGUGCGUUAUAGGUCGCGGGAGCCCGAAAACGGCCACACCGGCCACCGGGAAUGAAAAUGUGGGGGAUGGACCGAACAAUUAAAAAUGGCCUCCGGAUGUGUGUUCGGCCAUGAAAACGUAUGUUAUAGGUCACGGGAGCAUGAAAACGGCCGCACUGGCCACUGGGGACGAAACGUGGGGGAUGGACCGAAGACGUGAAAAUAGCCUCCAGACGCAUGUUCGGCCAUGAAAAUGUGUGCUAUAGGUCAUGCAAGGCCAAAAACAGCUGCACCAGCAACCGGGGACGAAACCAUGGCUGUCAAACCGAACGCUUGAAAAUCGCCUUCGGACGCGUGUUCGGAUAUGAAAACAUGUGUUGUAGGUCACGCGUGCCCGAAAACGUCCACAACGGACACCGGGUACAAAAACGUGGGGGAUGGAUCGAAUAACUGAAAAUGACCUCCGAACGCGUGUUCGGCCAUGAAAACGUGUGUUAUAGGUUGCGGGAGCCCAAAAAUGGCCACACCGGCCACCGAGGAUCAAAACGUGGGGGAUUGACCGAACAAUUAAAAAUGGCCUCCGAUUGUAUGUUCGGCCAUGAAAACGUGUGUUAUAGGUCAUGGGGGCCCAAAAAUGGCCGCACCAGCCACCAAGGACGAAAAUAUGGGAGAUGGACCAAAGACAUGAAAAUGGCCUCCAGAUGCAUGUUUGGACAAAAGUGUGUGCUAUAUGUCGUGCAAGGCCAAAAACAGCUACACCAGCCACCGGGACAAAAACGUGGGUGUUUGACUAAACAAGUGAAAAUGGCCUCCGGAAGCAUGUACGGCUAUGAAAAUGUGUGCUAUAGGUAAUGGAAGGCUAACAAAAGCUACACCGGCCACCGGGGACAAAAUCAUGGGUGUCAGACUGAACACUUCAAAAUGGCCUCCGGACGCGUGUCCGGCUAUCAAAACGUGUGUUAUAGGUCAUGCGAGCCCGAAAACAACCACACUGAACACCGGGUACAGAAACAUGGGGGAUGGACUGAAUAACUGAAAAUGGCCUCUAGACGCGUGUUCGGUCAUGAAAACAUGUGUUGUAGGAUGCGGGAGCCCGAAAACGGCCACACCGGCCACCAGGGCAUGGACCAAACAAUUGAAAAUGGCCUCCGGAUGUGUGUUCGGCCAUGAAAACGUGUGUUAUAGGUCACGGGAGCCCAAAAAUAGCCGCACCGACCACUGGGGAUGAAAUCGUGGGGGAUGGACCGAAGAUGUGAAAAUGGCCUCCAGAUGCGUGUUCGGCCAUGAAAACGUGCGCUAUAAGUCAUGUAAGGCUAAAAAUUGCUACACCGGGACUAAAGCAUCCCCCAUGAGUUACAAUAAAAGGAUUGUAUCCUCUACUCAGUCGGAUGUACUGUGUAGGUGAGAUGGUAAGGAAGCUAUGCGCGAGGUUUGAGGUUGUGGGUUGAAAUCCUACGCACCGCGCGCACACGCGCAUAUUUUGUGUGAAAAAUCAUGUGACUUGUGAUCGGCCAAGGAGAAGUGGGUGCAGCUGUGGCUUAAGUGGCUGAGGCACGCUGCCAUAGACAUCUCCGAUUUGCUCGAAGACUACCAAGACACUAGCAAUAACAAGAACUACUGCUCUUCCUAGCAGACUCUUUACAACCACUUUAAAGCUGUGCAUUUCUCAAUGUAAUUUCGUAGAAGGCAAUCGAUCCAACCAAGCGACUAAAUCAUUUGUUCUUGCCAAUGAUGUACAUCAGGUUUUCUAUAUGAAGGACAUGUCUAGCAAACCUAAGAUUUUAGAAGAAAAAGAAAAAUUAUGGGAGUCAAUAAUAAAUCAGGCCAAUCAGGAGAUUAUAGUAAGCUCGAUGGUAUGCCUCCAUUCGAUGUCGAAGUUGGCCCAAGCAUCAUGUUAGCCAAAGAUCAAAUGUUCGUGCAUUGCUACGGUAAAGAUCAAUUGUGUCUUUUAAACCCAUGGAAUUUUUUAUCUAUGUUUUUAUUACACUUAAUGGAUGUCUACACAUUUGCUAGAAAAUCAAAAUAAUUUUGACUUAAUUAUUUCUUUCAACUCAAAUACUCAUUAAAUUUCUACCUUUUUAUUUAAGCAAGAGAGUUGCUCAAAAAAUGGAUACGUAACCAUGUUGUAUCAUACAAAGCAACCACAUUUCACAUAUAGUCUGGCUUAGCAAACACCAUUGUUGUCUUAACAUAGUGUUCAUGAGUUAGUAGACAUGGAUCUAUUUCUAAUUGCAAGUAGUGCAGCGUACAACCAGCCUGCACCGCCGCAGCUCAAUAUGCGAUAAUUUUUUAUCUUCCCAUGUAAUUUUUCUACUCUAGUACAUAUUGAACUCCACAUAAAUGUCAUGUUCUUUCACGCCACAGACGGUUUCUAAAGUUUGGAACUAAAUAGAUAGCCAAAAAUUUUAAAAAAAUAUUUAUAUGGAUACAUGUAUGUUCUUUGCAAACUAACAAUAUUGUUUACAAUAUCAAAAGGAAUAUGGCUAUGAUCAUUGCCGCAUAUGGCAGGUGAUGGUAGAUGCCGUAUGGGGUUUCUUUAACUUAAUUGUAUAAUAAGCUGAAAUACAUUUUCUAUUUGCAAAUGAAUCAUAGCUGAAAGUGGUGGGAUUGUAGAACCGCCGGCCAUCGUGUCCUUGUAGGACCGCUGCACGAGCCUGUGAGCCACCAGCCACCAUGCGCCCAAGGGCCAUCACCACGCCAUAAGAGGAUGCUGUCUACCCGGUUUCGCGCGCCUGUGCUAGCUGCCUGAACCUGGGCCGCCGCCGGUCGCCUGCCCAGCCGCGCGUUGCGCCAGGGUUUUGCUGGUGACGACCAUGGCCUUCGCGAUCAAAUUAAAAAGUUAUCAACUGCAAAGUAUUAGGUCUCGUUGAGCUCUACAAUUUUGAUAUAAAGUUUCUAUUCAUCCGAGAUCAAAUAAAAAAUUUGAUACUCAAAGCAUAAAUCCAUUAAUCUAGUCUUGCUAAUCCUUACCACCAAAUAAAAAACUAGCAUGUGUUGUGUGUUUGUGACCCUAAACGAUCACAAAUGAAUAACUUAUGGGCCUUGCUAGCGCCCGGAUGUCCAGGCCGGGGCACUAGCAUCAGACCCACGAGUAGCCGUCCGAUCAGGUUCGACACCACUUCAGGAUCUGGCUUAAAAAGAAGUCCCACCGAAACAUUGUUCCAUGUUGCAUGAAGCAACCCACUACCGUCGCCAGGUCUAGAGCAAGCACCACCUUCAAAUGUGCUGCUCACCCUAGCUAAAUAGGGGCAUUAAAAUAUUUCUCGCAUAUCCUUCUCAAAUUAAACAAAAUCGCAACAUCUGAAAAUUUUUACAGAAAACCAUGAAACAUAUCGAUUAGAUAGAUGUAACAAGAUGGAAUAUGGUAUAUGCAACAUAUAGGUUCCGAAAAGCAGAUGAAAUAUUAUGUAAUGAUUCUUGAAACAGUCAAGAAAAAUAGAUGUAACAUCUAAAAUUAAGAAAAGAAGCUUUAUGCAAAUUGCAAAAAGCUGAAACAAGUGGUUGAAACAUUUCAAAUCACCAAAUGCCACAUUUGAAAUGACCAGAUGAAACAUCACGAAAUCAAUUGCAACAGUUGAAGAUGAAAACAUUCAAAUGCCUUGCCUUUCUCCAAAUUUGACCCUCCAAGCAUGAGUCCAGCCAUUUGCACAUUAGACCCUUGGGAGGAGCUCACCGGAGAACAACAAGACCGUGUUAUCCAACAAUUUUCAGAUCAAAUUGCAACAUAAAGAACAAAGCAUUGCAACAUCUGGCAUCACGAGCUACAACAGCAACCAGUUAGGAUCAGGAGAAAGAGGGCAAACACAAGCCUAACAAUGAGUUAUAUCCGGUUUAAACAAGGAUAAAAAUGAGUGUAUUUUACACUCAUCAUGUUGUCUUUUCGCAGCUGUACCGCCUUUAGCGUGUUGUAUUGUUCCUAACACCAAGUCUCCGAGGCCCGAAAAAAUAAGGAAAGUGGUAGCAGCUCAGAAAUCGACUAAGUUUCUUUCCCCCUUUGGCUUUCCUACUAGGAUUCGGAAUCCUCUUUCGUAUGACAAUCUUAAUGAUCUCCCAUAGUCCAAAACUCACAAAAACAUCAAAAAUCCACCGAGAAUAAAUUAAGUAAAAAAACAUGCACACACAGAUAAUAAUAGUAAUCAUGUUUCAUUAUGAUUGCUAAGGUCAGACACAAUACAUAAACAUAUUAGACUGAGUGACCCACCUCACCUCAGAGUAUGCACCAUGUCUGAGUGACCCACCUCACCUUGCCAGGACACUGGUCCUGCCCUCGUGGUUCACGCGCCCUCGUGGUUCAGCAGUGGUCAGUACACAAAUCUAGCUGCCAGUCGGAUCCAAGGGCAGGCAUUUGCAUUGUGGUUGUGUUUGAACAUGGAGAUGUCAUUAUUAUUGUCAGGCACCAUACAUCCUCUCUCAGUUUCACUCCGCCUCACACACGGAUAGCACACCAGGGACCCGACACCAUGCAUGCCGAUUUCAUAUUAUUAAUAUUUAAUUUUUUUAAUGGUUGUUGAAACUAUAUUGUUGAUAUUUUUAUACAUAAUUUACGACCUAAUUUGGAUAUAUUUUUGAAAUAUUCCGAAAUCUUAAAUUCACACGUCUAGAGAUACAGUUAGUCCAAUCUGAUGUUUCCGAUUAUAAAAAUGAACAUAAAGAGAUAGGAAGCGAGAGACGUGAGGGGGAAAGUUAAAUUAGGGCCUAAGGGGUGAAGUUAGGGUUCCAGGUGAGCUGUCAUCACUACGUGUUUUUAAUCGAAAUUGGAAUGUCAGCAAUCGUCAGAUCUUGAGCCAACAGUUGAGACUGCCUCGGAAUGGUAAUUAGGUCUGCGCGAGCUUGCAUUGUGGCCUUCCUUGAAACCUUGGACAUAGGUGUUAUAUUAUUAUGUUCUUGCCAGCACACAGCAGUGAAGGACGACACAGUUGAGAUGUGCAUCACAUUUUCUAUAUGAAGGAUAUGUUUAGCAAACCUAAGAUUUUAGAAUAAAAAGAAAAAUCAUGGGAGCCAAAGCGCCACAUAGUUCUUCCAGGUAAAAAAAAAUCAUCCACUGGACCAGCACAUAGUAACGAUCCAAAAAGUCCAUAUUAAGAUUUUUUGAUAGCAGAAAAAACAUAAAAUGUCUAAUAUUUGUAGUAUUAAAAGGAAAAAUAAUAUAUUCACGUGACCUUUUUCCCGUAGCAAGGCACCGGUACGUGGUCAGACUUAAUGCACGAUGCCUAAGCAUCCAUUGGGCCUACCCUCGUGUGGAUCACGCGCAACAGGACACGGCUCACAAGCUAUGAUGUGCAGCAGUCGCUCAGAUGGCUGAAAGGUACCCUUAAUUUGAAUGGUACCAUAUAUAUAUAUAUAUAUAUAUAUAUAGUAAACAAGACAAACCACCGUUGAUACUACUUUGCACUACUUGAUACAUAUAUCUCCACCAAAAGCGAGGCACGUGGGGAGGAGAGAUAUGUGGUUGAUGGUGCGGGCACGUGGCGAGUGCACCGUACGAAAAUUUUGCUCGUGUCGGACGACUGAUGUGAAGCAUUACCCAAUCUUAAUUAUCUCCCAUAAUCCAAAACUCACAAAAACAUCAAAAAUCCGCCGAGAAUAAAUUAAGUAAACCAUGCACACACAGAUAAUAAAAUUGCUAAUAAGGCCAGAGACAAUACAUAAACAUAUUAGACUGUUCAUGACACAUAUCACGGUGGAUAGUGUCUGUGUCCUUAUUACAAGCAAUGAGAGAUGCUUGUCACCACACACACGCGCACAGAUGCACAACAUACAUAUAGUUGAGACCAACAGAUGGAUCAACUAGAGGUCACCCCAUAUGGUGAACAAUUUAUUGGAGAUAAACAUUAACAUAACUUGGCCAUAGCUUGAAGCAUAGCAACAUAUGCCUAUGAACGGCGUUCAUGCUAUCAUUUUAGGCUUGUCCGCUUCUUCCAUCUUAGCAAGCACUUCCAUUUCUACCAUCUUAGAAGCAACUGUCAAAUUGAGAUAUGGAAAUCCCAUUAGCGCAUGAGUUAAUUUUGCAGUGAAAAUAGAGUACAAGAUAUCUUCAUGAUGUAAGUAACAUGCCUGAAGUUGUGAGAUGGGAAGUGAAGUCAACAAAUUACAUUAACGGAAAUGCAUGGAAGGCCACACAUACGUAUUAGUCCAUGAUAUGCUACAAAGCUUGUAUGUACAUAUAGCAAAUUAAAUGCAUUAAUUGAAUAGAGUGAGUUUAGUGAAUUUACCAGAAUCGUCCAGAAAACAUGGGAAACAGCAAGUGUUCUUGCAGACUGCGUCGGUGCCACCCACAGCAAUACAACCAAAACAACAUGCUUUUGCCCGAGCGGCUGCGCAGCAGCCGCACUCUGCCGCGGUGGCCGAGUUAGCAUUGAGGCUCAAGAUGACCAGGCACAUGAUCACCAUCAAAGCGGUGGUAGUCCUCUUUCCCUCCAUUGCCUCCUCUUGCUGCUACCUUCCUUGGUUACCUAGCUAAGUUUAUUGGUUUUGUGUUGAGAGGUGAUUCUUGCAUUGAAUGGACGUUGCCGCGGCUGCAAUUUAUAGGCAGCUGCGCUAUGUGAUGAUAUGGACAAGGUGCAAAUGGGUGGUCCUGAUAUGGAUAAGGUGCAUGCGAAUGGCUGUCUACUUGUAUAGUGGCGCUCCAAUGUACAUACGUAUGUAUCUUAUGCAUGUAUACAGUUGAUGGAUGUACAUGUUUGUUGCACAAAUUAUUCUGAACCAACUCUUCAUAACAGGUCUUUGUUACCAAGUAAUUUUACUUUUGCACGUUUCAGCCGAGAGGCAGAAGAGAAUAUUUUACAGAGAGGGCAGAGAAGGAGGUUGGCGGAGGCGCCGUGGUAGGGUUCCCCGUGUCGCCAAGAUUUUUGCAUUUUAGAUGUGUGUAUUGAUCACUUCGUCGUGCUCGCGGGGCCCAACUCCAGGUUGUACCCCAGCAGACCACGUUCUGUUUCUCUGCCUCCAAUGAGCAUGCAUGCCUCCACAAGGACCACAAGACUUAGUAAAAAAGCUAAACUUUGCAACACGAUGUAUACAGAACGUUUUGAAAUGUACUCUCGUUAGGCAUUCACCUCCUUAACAAUCACUGCGACUGUAAAAGAGGUACAUCGACGCUAGCUAAAUAAACCACUAUAAGAUUUAGCAAGAGAUCAUUUUAUACAAUCCUGUAACGAAACAAUUUGACAAUUAUAGUGUCCAUAUAUUUUGACAAAAAAACGUUUAAAUUAUAUAAGGAGGUGGGCCCGAAAACGGUUGGAUUACAUCGAGAACGUUUUGAAACAGUUGGCGGAGCAGGAUUCUGGCGUGGAGCAUCUACAUUGUCGCGCGCGCGGACUGCCGGAGUAGGCACGCUCGACUUGUCCCAUCGCCAGCUAAAUGAUUUAGUACCGGAUGGUCUCUAGUACCGGUUGGAGCUACCGUCCACCAGGAGCUUUUCUAGUUUGGAACUGGUACUAAUGCUAAUAUUAGUAUCAGGUCAAAAACAAUCGGUACUAAGGCUAGGGAUGACACGUCAUUUUUCUAGUAGUGUGUGCAAUUGGUUUUGUAAUUAGUCUAUAUUUAAUACUUCUAAUUAGUAUCUACACAUUUUAUGUGACAGGGACUGAACUUUAGUCCGUGGAACCAAACACCCCAUAAGUAUGUUUGGUGCUGUAAGGAUUUCGGUUUUAUUUAAUUUCCUAGGCAUUUAAAUUUCUUUCUAAAAUAAGUUAAUGAAUCAUAGGAUCUCAUUGUUGUAUUCAAGCUGGUGCAUUGAUUUUGCCUAUAAAACCCGCCGCGGUCUUCGCAGCCCCCAUCAAACCCUAGCGCCCUUGCCACAAGCUCAGCACCGCUGCCGCCCGAGCUCGAGCACUAGCACCCACCCAUCGCCGUUGCCUUCCCGUCGAUGGGAUCACCGCCCGGAGCUUCGCAUCGUGGUAAGGAAGCCGCCCGUGAAGAUCCCAUGUGCUCCUAUGCCCUCUACCGCGUCCCCGAGUUCCCGGAGUUGCUAGUCUCCCACCGAGCCGACUCUCCGAGCUUCACGUCACUGGUGCCGCUCCGAAGACCUAGUUCGGUUCGCCAUGCACCUCGCUUCAUCCUGAGCUAAACCCCAUAAUGAAUGGUGGUCGGAUGCUCGCCGCCACGGCGCGUCGUCUUUUCUGUCGCCCGUGCAUUGCCUAUCCCCUUCCAGCCGAUUGCAGCUGUCCGAUCGCAAACCGGUGGCCCUGAUCGGAUACCAAGGUCAAUACCGGUCGAACCGAGCCGUGCGCUGCUUUUGCAAGAAGGCCCCUGUUUUUCUCUCUUUUUGCACCUGAGGUCCUACGCAGUUCAAAAGUAAUAAGAUCUAGGUCCUUUUUCUUUUGUUUUAGCCCGUGUUCUUUUAUAAAAUCCCGCCCACUAUUCUGUUUGGUCUUUUGACGCGUUAGACCUUCUUUUUAUAUGUUUAAUUAGGUUUUAGGUCUCGAUUUCUUUAAGUUUAGCCCUUGAAAGUUUAGUUCUCUCGCAGUUAAGCCCCUGAACCUUGUUUAGCUCAUAUCUUAAGCGUUUUAAAUCCGUUUUAACAGAUUCUUGCGCCUAUAAGUUCAUGUUGACGCAUAGAUUAGUUGACUUAUACGAACCUUGCUGAUUCAGCUCCUUGAUUGUGCUUCAGAUCUCGCUAGGGAAGAAUAAUGGAUGGGCUUUGGUUGAGCUUGUAGAUCGACUUGCAGUUGCAGUGAAUGAGCAGAGGAUUGGCAGUGAAUAAGAUCAGGCCGCUGCCCUGCUUGGUAGGGAAAAUAUCUGCUUGCUACCAAGGCCUGUGACGCAUGGACCCCAUUGAGAGUGCAUUAUUGACAAGGACUUAAAGCCAAGGGCUCCACACCUGUCAUUGAUCAGCUGUCUGCUGGGCGCUGCAAGGAGGUAGUGCAUGUUUGACAUAAAGAAGCAGGUGGCCCAGGAUUUACGAAAAAUAAGGAUCUAUUUGAUACCCUUGCUUAUAUUUAGGGGCUAAAAGUUGCUUAUUUGAAGUUGCUUAUUUUUAAUCCUAGCUGUUUGAUUGCAUGGGCUAAAGAGCAUUGAAUGAGGUGGAUAUUGUCAUGUUUGCCUCUAAUGAUUGCUUCCCAUCACAUUUCUCCCCCCUCAUUCAACGAGGGAAGGAGGUGUAAAGUGCACCUUUUAGCCCCGAUAAGUAACCCUUGUGUUGUUUACGGGCUGAACAUAAGUAGCUAAAGUUUAGCUCCAAUAAACAAGAGUGUUUGGUAUUUUUGGGGUUAAAAGGGGCUAAACUUUAGCUGCUUAUGCAUAAGCAAGGCCAUCCAAAUAGGCCCUAAGUAUGUUUGGCGUUGUAAGUAGGUUUUAUUUAAUUUCCUAGGCAUUUAAAUUUCUUUCUAAAAUAAGUUAAUGAAUCAUAGGAGUUCAUUGUUGCAUUCACGCUGGUGCAUUGAUUUUGCCUACAAAACCUGCUGCCGUUUCCGCAGCUCCCAUCAAACCCUAGCACCCCCGCCACGAGCUCCAGCGCCGCUGCCGCCCGAGCUUGAGCACUAGCGCACACCCAUCGCCGUCGCCUUCCUAUCAAUGGGAUCACCGCCCGGAGCCCGUGUCAUGGUAAAGAAGCCGCCCGUGAAGAUCCCGUCCACUCUCGUGCCCUCUACCGCGUCCUCGAGUUCACCGGAGUUGCCAGUCUGCCACCCAGCCGCCUCUCCGAGCUUCAUGUUGUCGUUGCCACUCUAGCUGCCUCUCUGAAGACCUAGAUCGGUUUGCCGUGCACCCCGCUUCAUCCUGAGUUAAACCCCAUCAUGCCACGUCAUAGUAAGGAAGCUGCUCAUGAAGAUCCCGUGCGCUCCCGUGCCCUCUACCGCGUCCCCAAGUUCACUGGAGUUGCUAGUCCACCACCGAGCCGCCUCUCCGAGCUUCACUUCACAGUCGCUGCUCCAGCCACCACUCUGAAGACCUAGAUCAGUUCGCUGUGCACCCCACCUCAUCCUGAGCUAAACCCCAUGACGAACUGUGGUCGGAUGCUCAUUUUCGAGUGAAUUCCGGCGAGAUGGUCGCCCGCCGCCGCCAUCUCCAUCGCCCAUGCACCGCCUGUCCCCUUCCAGCCGAUGUCCGAUUGCAAACCGAUAGCCGAAAUCGGAUGUGGUCACCAGGAUUAAUACCAGUCAAACUAAGCCACGCGUGCCGCUUUUGCAAGAAGGCCCCUAUUUUUCCCUCUUUUUGCACUUGAGGUCCUAUGCAGUUCAAAAGUAAUUAGAUCAAGGUCCUUUUUCUUAUGUUUUAGCCCUAUUCUUUCAUAAAAUCCCGGCUGCCAUCCUGUUUGAAAUAGAUACGGUUAUAGAUAUGCAAACAUCUGCAUAUUUCCAACCGUAUCUCUUUCGAACGGGAGACGCCUAACUAGGUUACGUGACAUACGAACAUCAUACGGAUAGAGAGGGGUAGGAUGUCUCACCUUGCUAUCCUACAAAGUGACGACUCGAGGACAGUAAUGUAGCCUCUCCUUCAAAAAAAGAACAUACUACUAUCAAGUUAAAUUUUUGACAGCACCUCCCCUGCACGUGGAGGUUUCCAUAACCUGCAUCAAAUAAAACGGCACGAUGGCUGACAACCACAUCUACAGCACCAGAAUGGCACGAUGGCCGACUUCCACAUAAAGUUCUUAUACCUUAGAUUGCCAAGUCAAACAUCCUUUUCUAAUUUCUAAAACAAAAGCCCUCCCACCUCUCUAUCUUAUACUUUCCUAUUUACUAAUUGCUUUUGUAAUUUCUAAUUUCUAUUUCAUCCUACCACCUCUGUACCCUUUUCUCAUUUCUAAUUCCAAUUUUCUAACUUGAAGAGCAAAGAUUGAUUACUAGGAGGGGUGAGGGACGCCGGCCUAGAGAGGCGAGGGGACGUCCGGCGGCGGCGGGUGCGUCGGGGGUAGGAUGCCAGGGGCGGCUGCAGGGGCGCCGGGUUGGGGGCGGCCGGGAUCGAGGGCACCAGUAGCGGGGGCACCGGGCCGGGGGCGGCCGGCGGGGCGGGACGCCAGGGCCGGGGCGACGGGCGCCGGUGGCGAGGCCGCCCGGCCGGUGGUGGCCGGCGUGGCGCCUGGGCCGGGGGGGGGGGGCGGGCGGGGUGCGGCGCGGCGCGCCGGGGCAGGGCGCCGAGGCUGGGUGGUGGGGUACGGGGCGGCGGGCGGGGGGUGGGGGGAGGGUCGGCGGCGGGGCGCGGGGGCGGCCAGCGGCGACGGCGGAGGGCGUCGGUGGUGUUUCGGAAGUGAUACGGAGGGGGUAGAGAGAUUCGUUUUCGCGGCUGAGUGUUCGAGUCAGAAGGCCGUGCGGCUUAAGUCAGGUGGUUUGCCGAGUGCGCGCGAUCUGGCACUCGGCAAAGUCAGAAGUUUUGCCGAGUGUCAGAUCGCGGGCACUCGGCAACUGCAGCUUUUGUCGAGUGCCCUGGAUUCGGCACUCGGCAAAGUGAAGUUUUAAUUUUUUUUAAAAAAAUUUAAUCGGAACACGGGCGUGCCAGCGGGCCCGUGACAUACUUUGCCGAGUGUGUAGCAAAAACACUCGGCAAAAUAUUAUCUUUACCGAGUGUUUUCGCUAGGCACUCGGCAAAGUACACUUAUAUUUCAUGUACACUUUUUCAAUAACGUGUUUUACUAACCUUUUUCUGAUAUACUUGGGAAAAACCUUAUCAAAUUCACUCAACAAUGGAUAUAUGGUUUUUCUACUGACAUUAUUCCAUUAUUUCAUUCAGUUAUAGCUCAAAUUGAAUUUAUAUCUAUUAAAAAUCAAUAAUUGCAUUUAAUAAAUAAAAAAUACCAAACGGAUCUGAAAAAUUUCCAAAAUUUGACAUGAACCAAUCUAUGUUGUAUGUUGCCUGUACAAAAAGCUUUGAAGUCAAACCCCAAUUCAAGUGUCACUUGGACUCCAAAUCUUAUCGGAUCCUUUCUAACUUCUAUGAAUCCUUUCGGGAGAUGAGUCGGUUUGUAAGCAUCAUAUGUCAUAAAUUGGGCGAAACCUUCUCAAUUUUUUACCACAGCCUCCACAUAUAAUAUCAUGACACCUUGACAAAUCUUGUGAUUUUCAGACUUCGUUUGCUUUUUUUAGAAUUUAACAACCAUUCAACCACAUGUUCGUGAUCGUGUUUUCUAAAAAAAUGUUCAAAAUUUCUUUUCAUUUCCUGGUUGAGACCUCAAUCCGGAUUGAAUAAUAUGAAUAUGAUUUUUUCACUGAUUUUAAUCCAUUAUUUAAAUCACUUGCAGUUAAAUUUGACUUAAAUAAACAAAUUCCUAUUAAUGCUAUCAAUUCAUUAAAAAUAGCAAACAGAGAAAAAAUAGACCAACUUUUAAGAUGGAUUACCAAAUGUCAUAUGUGGGGAGUAGAAAAAGUGUGGAGAGCAGAGGUGGAAAAAAAAGUUUUGCCUUUGCCAAGUGCCUACACAAACACUCAACAAACUUUGCGGAGUGCCUAUUGAAAACACUCAGCGAACUUCUGAGUUUGCCGAGUGUCUGGAGGGAGCACUCGGCAACCUACUUAUUUGCCGAGUGUCCGCGUCGGACACUCAGCAAAGUACUAACGGCUGGCACACUCCCCUAACGGACGGCGCACGUGCAAGCCAUGUGCUGGAGAUUUAUCGAGUGUCAAAUCGUUGCCGAGUGUCGUGUGGAUGUUUGCCGAGUGUCUUAUUUGUGACACUCGGCAAAGCUAUUGUUUGCCGAGUGUAUUAUUUAUGCCGAGUGUCUUCCAGUAUACACUCGGCAAAUGAUGUCUUUGCCGAGUGCUCGACAUAAAGCACUCGGCAAAAAUUUUACACUCGGCAACAUUCCUGUUUCCGGUAGUGAGUGACCCGGGACUAAAGACCCCCGUUGUCUCUGAUUGCUUUAUUCCGGAUGGAUUUUCAGGAGAUUUGCUCCCUACCAAUAGGGACUAAAGGCAAGUUUUCCACUUAUAGCAAACCAGUUAGCCCAUUGUUGAUGGAACGCAUCACUAGAAACAGCUCGGGAUCCACUUGUCCAAUAAUCGAGAGGGCCUAUAUAUGGACCACGUGUGCGGAUCCCUAAUUAGGAAAAAAGAAUAAUGGAGUAGGACAUCUCCAUGCUCACCUAGUAGCCGCUGCUAGCUUGUGCGUGUGGAACACGAGUGCCGGCCCAGUUGGCGCUAAGACAUCGUACGUGCAUUAAGGCUACGAUCUCUUUCUUCUAACUCAUGCUUGUGCUAUUAUACAUUAUUGCAUGAUCAUCAAGAUAAGAUCGUAUAGUGACUGAGUGAGACAUGUAUGUACUAACAUGCAUUUAAGCCUCGAACUGUGUGUUGUUACGUGAGCUGCCUCCUCACCUCGCCUCUGAAUUAUUGAACCGUUUCCAACAGUGUUGGUCUCAAAUAAAUUUGACACCAAACAGAUUUAUGAAGAAGAGAGAAUAAUACUUGGAAUUGGAAAAAGUUUAUCUCUCUUUACAAUGGAGUAGGGCUCCCUUUUAUAGUGACCCAUAAGCCACUUUACAUUUGGAAAAUGUCCUUCCUCAACCACUACAUUAAUUCCUAGGAUAUGCUGUACAUAAAGGUCAUUUGAGGUAACGUGUACAAAUGAACUCUUCCACAUGGUCACGUUUCUCAUGCCUCCUGUUUUCCAACCUCGAGACAUCAUCUUCACGCCAAGUUGAUCAUCUAGCCUCGAGGCUCCAUCCACGAUCCAGAAUGAACGUCCAGGCUUGAGGCUCCUUCUUCGUUAAGCUUUGUUGAGAACUCAUAACCUCACAUAGUUCUCCUCCGAGUAUUGUUCCCGACUCAGAACACUCGAGGUUUAGCUCAGUUGGAGUUUAGCUAUUACUGUUGCUAGUCACCAGCCUCGAGCCCCUCCAGAAGCAAGGUGAUGCGAGGGUACGAGUUUUACUAUUAAAGGUGUUUCCAUAGAAUGUGCGAGGUUAAAGCACUUGCAGCAAAAGCGUGGAGCUGCUUUCAACCAGAGUGCAAUAAUGCAGCCGUGCCCAUCUUGGUCUUGGUCUCCGCCUGAACUAUAGCAGAUGCUGGCAGCGGUAGCAGGGUGGUCCAUUAUAUCUAUGGAUGGCAAUGGUCGGAUUCGGAUGGAAUCGAAUUCGAAUAGCACUUUUUACCACAUACUAAUUCAAAUCCGAAUUCGGAUUCGGAUGUUCUCGAAUGCGAAUGCAAAAUGGAUGGUUCGAAUUCGAAUACUUAGCGGAUUUUUGCAUAAUAUUAAUCGAAUAGAAUUCAUUAAAUUUAGCCAAGAAAUUAAAUUUUCUGAAAUUAAAUACUUUCCCUUCGCCCCAGCGGCGGCCUAACUCCCAGGACGGUGGCGUGCGGGGCCCGAGCAUCCCUGGCCUCUAGUGGCGUGGCGGGGCGGCAUCCAGCAGCAGCGGCGGGGCUCGGCCUCCGGUGGCGCGCGGCCAGCCCGACCUACCCGGUCAGAGGUGGCGCAGCGGUGCGCGGGCCUCCCCGACCAGAGCCGGUGGGGAGCGGUGCGCGGGGAGGACCUCCCCAGCCGGAGGUAGCAGGGCGCGACCUCCCCGGCCGGAGGUGGCUCCCUGUGGGGGCGCGGCCGUGACAGCUAGCGAGGCAAUAAUUGCUUCCGUACGCAGCAAUAAUUGCUUGUGCGACACCGUGUUAUUACUCUGGUACAGUACUCCCUCCGUUGCAGUACACUGGUCCAGGCGUCAGGACACUGCUCCUGCCCUCGUGGUUCACGUGCAUCAGGCCAGCAGACAAGCUAUGAUGUUGCCAACAGUGUUUGUUUGAACAUGGAGAUGUCAUUGUGAUUGUCAGGGACCCGACACCAUGCAUGCCGAUUUCAUAUUCUUAAUAUUUAUUUUUUUAAUGGUUGUUGAAACUAUAUAGUUACUCCAAUAUCACGUUUCCGAUUAUAAAAAUUAACAUAAAGAGAUCGGAAGGGAGAGCCCGCAUAAUGAAGCCGACGCGUAUAAUAAGCACUAGAGCCGGCAUUUAUACAAACGGGUACGCAUAGUAAAAACUAGAAUUUAUAAAUAAAUGAAGAUAUUCAAAUAUCUGGCUUACUUUUUUCAUUAAUUUUGCAUGAAUAAGGGAUGAUUCAUUAAUCAUUAUUGAACAAAUUGGCACACAUGCUUCGUGCCCGCGUUGUGAGCAUUAUGCGAUGCCACUGAGCUGCACCACCACGGUAGAGGGCCUGUUUGCGAUGCCACCGAGCUGCACCACCACGGCAGAGGGUCUGUUUGGGAAGGGGAAGUUAAAGUUUAACACCCCCCAUUUAACACCUUUUUAACAAAAUGGCUGCUAAACACUUGUGUUAAAAGAGUAGUGUUAAAAUUUAACACCUCUCUUUUCAUAAACACAUGGAGGGGGUGUUAAAAUUUGCUAAAUGUGUUAAAAGUGGUCCCCUCCCCACUUAUUCCUUGGUUGCCCCCCUCUCUCUCCUCCUCUCUCUCCUACCCGCCGCAUUUAAGAGCAUUAUUGAGGGGUAAUGCAGUCCUUUUCCAACAAAAGUGUUAAACUUUAACAACCCUUCCCAAACAUGCCACAAGCAACACCACCGGCUGACUGUGCUAGCGGGGAGCACCCUCACCGCCUGCCCGUGGGGACUUCUUCUGCCGGCCAUCGUGUCUUUGUAGGACCGCCGCGUGAGCCUAUGAGCCACCGGUGGCCGUGCGCCCAAGGGCCAUCACCAUGCCACCUGAGGAUGCUGUCUACCCGGUGCCGCGUGCCUCUGCUAGCUGCUUGCACCUGGGCCGCCGCUGGUCGCCUGCACAGCCACGCGUUACAGCCGCCCCCCUGCGCUGGGCCACCCCAUUUCGUGUUGGAAGAACUGCCACAGUCUCGCGCACUGGGGUUUUGCUAGUGACGACCAUAGCCUCCAAGAUCAAAUGAAAAAGUUGGUACUCAAAACAUACAUCCAUUAAUCUAGUCGUGCUAAUCCUUACCACCAAAUAAAAACUAGCAUGUGUUGUGUUUUUGUGACCCUAAACGAUCACAAAUGAAUAACUUAUGGGCGUUGCUAGCCUAUAAGUUAUGGGCGUUUGUGACCCUAGUCGCGCCGGGGUCUUGCUGGUGACAACCAUGGUCUUCGCGAUAAAGUAUUAAGUCUCAUCGAGUUCUACAAUUUUGAUAUAAAAUUUCUAUUCAUCCGAGAUCAAAUGAAAAACAAAUGAAAAAAUCCGAAGUAUUAGGCUUCAUCGAGCUCUACAAUUUUGAUAUAAAAUUUCUAUUCAUCCGAGAUCAAAUGAAAAAAUCCGAGAUCAAAUGAAAAGUUGGAACUCAAAACAUACAUCCAUUAAUCUUGAUAUAAAAUUUCUAUUCAUCCGACAUCAAAUGAAAAAGUUGGUACUCAAAAUAUACAUCCUUUAAUCUAGUCGUGCUAAUCCUUACCACCAAAUAAAAAAACUAGCAUGUGUUGUGUGUUUCUGACCGUAAACGAUCACAAAUGAAUAACUUAUGGGUGUUGCUAGCGUCCCGGACGCUAGCAUCGGACGCAUGAGCAGCCGUCCGAUCGGGUCCGACACCACUUCACGAUCUGUCUUAAAAAAAAGUCCCACCGAAACAUUGUUCCAUGUUGCAUGAAAUACCCCACUAUCCAUCGCCAGGUCUACAGCAAGCACCACCUUCCAAUCUGCUGCUCACCCAAGCUAAAUAGGGGCAUUAAAAUUGCAGAAAUAUGUCACAUAUCCUUGUCAAAUUAAACUAAAUCGCAACAUCCGAAAAUUUCUUACACAAAACCAUGAAACAUAUCGAUUAGAUAGGUGUAACAAGAUGGAAUAUGGUAUCCAACAUAUAGAUUCCGAAAAACAGAUGAAACAUUAUGUAACGAUUGUUGAAACAGUCGAGAAAUAUAGAUGUAACGAUUAAAAUUUAGAAAAGAAGCUUUAUGCAAAUUGCAAAAAGCUGAAAUAAGUGGUUGAAACAUUUCGAAUCACCAAAUGCCACAUUUGAAAUGGCUACAUGAAACAUCACGAAAUCAAUUGCAACAGUUGAAGAUGAAAACAUUCAAAUGCCUUGCCUUUCUCCAGAUUUGACCCUCCAAGCAUGAGUCCAGCCAUUUGCACAUUAGACCCUUGGGAGGAGCUCACCGGAGAACAACAAGACCGUGUUCUCCAACAAUUUUCUGAUCAAAUUGCAACAGACAAAACAAAGCAUUGCAACAUCUGGCAUCACGAGCUACAACAUCAACAAGUUAGGAUCAGGAGAAAGAGGGAAAACACAAGCCUAACAACCCCAAGACAAAACUGAUGUACUCAUCAUACAUCACGGCUUGCCGUGCACAGAGAUGAAGGCCGCCAAGCUCAAUCGAGACAGAGACGACGUGAUAGUGCUCCAGAUCGACGGUCCCCAUCAAUUGUUGCGUACACUGCCAAAAGCAAUGGAAGAAGAAGGGUCGUCCCUGCUCGACCUCCGUAGAUGAGCGCAGAUUGGGGGAAACCGUAUAGAGUGCCGCUGACAGCACAGGCGAGGGGGCUCAGGCUUGAUUCAGGGUGAGGGUAGCGGGUAGCAUGAGGAGACAGUCAGGUUUCAUAGGAGAGAGGCGGAGUAGAGAGCUCUGGUGACUCGGUGAGGAGGGUGCGGCACGGAGAAAGGUGUGUAGCUGAAGGAGCUACAUGGUUGGGGCGAGGCGAGCGUAGAGACUAGAGAGGGAAAAAAAGCAUGGGGAGGAGACGAUAUGUGGUUGAUGGUGCGGGCACGUGGUGAGCGCACCGUAUGAAAAUUUUGCUCGCGUCGGAUGACUGAUGUGAAGCAUUACCCAAUCUUAAUUAUCUCCCAUAAUCCAAAACUCACAAAAACAUCAAAAAUCCGCCGAGAAUAAAUUAAGUAAACCAUGCACACACAGAUAAUAAAAUUGCUAAUAAGGCCAGAGAUAAUACAUGAACAUAUUAGACUGUUCAUGACACAUAUCACGGUGGAUAGUGUCUGUGUCCUUAUUACAAGCAAUGAGAGAUGCUUGUCACCACACACACGCGCACAGAUGCAUGACAUACAUAUAGUUGAGACCAACAGAUGGAUCAACUAGAGGUCACCCCAUAUGGUGAACAAUUUAUUGGAGAUAAACAUUAACAUAACUUGGCCAUAGCUUGAAGCAUAGCAACAUAUGCCUAUGAAUGGCGUUCAUGCUAUCGUUUUAGGCUUGUCCAGCUUCUUUCAUCUUAGCAAGCACUUCCAUUUCUACCAUCUUAGCAGCAACUGUCAAAUUGAGAUAUGGAAAUCCCAUUAGCGCAUGAUUAAUUUUGCAGUGGAAAUAGAGUGCAAGAUAUCUUCAUGAUGUAAAUAACAUGCCUGAAGUUGUGAGAUGGGAAGUGAAGUCAACAAAUUACAUUAACGGAAAUGCAUGGAAGGCCACACAUACGUAUUAGUCCAUAAUACGCUACAAAGCUUGUAUGUACAUAUAGCAAAUUAAAUGCAUUAAUUGAAUAGAGUGAGUUUAGUGAAUUUACCAGAAUCGUCCAGAAAACAUGGGAAACAGCAAGUGUGCUUGCAGACUGUGUCGGAGCCACCCACACGAAUACAAAGCUGACAACAUGCUUGUGCCUCGUGGGAUACGCAGCAGCCGCACUGUGCCGCGGUGGCCGAGUUAACAUUGAGGCUCAAGAUGAACAGGCACAUGAUCACCAUCAAAGUGGUAGUCCUCUUUCCCUCCAUUGCCUCCUGUCGCUGCUACCUUCCUUGGUUACUAGUAAGUUUAUUGGUUUUGUGUUGAGAGGUGAUUCUUGCAUUGAAUGGACGUUGCCGCGGCUGCAAUUUAUAGGCAGCUGCGCUAUGUGAUGAUAUGGACAAGGUGCAAAUGGGUGGUCCUGAUAU
rnacentral:lncRNA from 1 species